rnacentral:rRNA from 1 species
UACGGGGGGUGCAAGCGUUGUUCGGAUUUACUGGGCGUAAAGGGCGCGUAGGCGGCCCCCGCAAGUCACUUGUGAAAUCUCCGGGCUUAACUCGGAAAGGUCAACUGAUACUGCGGGGCUAGAGUGCGGAAGGGGCAACUGGAAUUCUCGGUGUAGCGGUGAAAUGCGUAGAUAUCGAGAGGAACACCUGCGGCGAAGGCGGGUUGCUGGGCCGACACUGACGCUGAUGCGCGAAAGCCAGGGGAGCGAACGGG